UUCUUUUCCUUCAUCAAUCUCGCCGCAGUCUCUUUCGAAGAACAACAAUCCAGAAAAGGAAGCCGAUUUCAAAUCGUUUUGACCGUGAGAGCUAAGUGGAAGAAGAAGCGUAUGAGAAGGUUGAAGAGGAAGAUAAUAAAGAUGAGGCAACGAUCUGAGUAGCCCUUUUGAUUUCUUUCUUCACAGCUACUUGUUUUUGAUGGAUUAAUGUCGGUUUUUCGUUUUCAUGGCUUAGAUUUUGUGUUUUUGUUGAACCAUUUUCAUUUUCUUGAUAAAUGUUGAAGAGCUUUUGCUUGAA